rnacentral:rRNA from 1 species
GAUGAACGCUGGCGGCGUGCCUAAUACAUGCAAGUCGAGCGAAUUGACAGAGGUGCUUGCACCUCUCGAUUUUAGCGGCGGACGGGUGAGUAACACGUGGGUAACCUACCUAUAAGACUGGGAUAACUUCGGGAAACCGGAGCUAAUACCGGAUAAUAUUUAGCUUCGCAUGAAGCAAUAGUGAAAGACGGUUCUGCUGUCACUUAUAGAUGGACCUGCGGUGUAUUAGCUAGUUGGUGAGGUAACGGCUCACCAAGGCAACGAUACAUAGCCGACCUUAGAGGGGGAUCGGCAACACUGGGACUGAGACACGGCCCAGGCUCCUACGGGAGGCAGCAGUAGGGAAUCUUCCGCAAUGGACGAAAGUCUGACUGAGCAACGCCGCGUGAGUGAAGAAGGUUUUCGGAUCGUAAAACUCUGUUGUAAGGGAAGAACAAGUACGUUAGUAACUGAACGUACCUUGACGGUGCCUUACCAGAAAGCCACGGCUAACUACGUGCCAGCCGCCGCGGUAACAC